CUGCGCAUGCGACGCCGGCUGGCGCCUGGGCGACAUGGCUGCGUCUUCUGGUGCCGAGAAGGAGAAGGAGCGGCCGGGUGGCGGCUCGGGAGCAGCAGGUGGUAACAGCACAAGAGAGCGGCUGCUGUCUGCCCUGGAAGAUCUGGAGGUCUUGUCGAGGGAACUUAUAGAAAUGUUGGCAAUUUCAAGAAACCAAAAAUUGUUACAGGCUGAAGAGGAAAACCAGAUACUGGAGUUGUUAAUUCACAGAGAUGGGGAAUUUCAAGACCUAAUGAAAUUGGCUCUUAACCAGGGGAAAAUCCAUCAUGAAAUGCAAGUUUUAGAAAAAGAAGUAGAGAAGAGAGACAGUGAUAUUCAGCAACUACAGAAACAACUAAAGGAAGCAGAACAAAUACUGGCAACAGCUGUUUAUCAAGCAAAAGAAAAACUCAAAUCAAUAGAAAAAGCAAGAAAAGGUGCUAUCUCCUCUGAAGAAAUCAUUAAGUAUGCACAUAGGAUUAGUGCAAGUAAUGCUGUCUGUGCCCCGCUGACCUGGGUUCCAGGGGACCCACGGAGACCGUACCCAACAGAUCUAGAGAUGAGAAGUGGAUUGUUGGGUCAGAUGAACAAUCCUUCCACUAAUGGCGUGAAUGGGCAUUUACCAGGUGAUGCGCUCGCAGCAGGCAGAUUGCCAGGGGGUGAGCGGCACUUGAUGUCCUGCACACCAAACAGCACAGGAGAAAGAAGGAAAAAACACACCGGAACCCGUAAGAGAAGCCUAUUCCCCCUGCAGAGUCCCUCCUUGACUGACAAUGCCUAACACUGCCAGCUGGCAAAGGAGAAAUGCUCUCGUGGUCCAGCUCUGCUGUCACACAGCUGGGAAAGGGUGAAUUUGAAGCUAAGGGACAAAUACACUGGUAACUGGCACGCCUGUCUAGUUAGUGCCGUACCUCUUUCUCUUACCUUUUUGUGAAAUCUACCUUCUUUCUUUCAGUCUUGAACUUUACCUGUUAAUGUGCCAUCUUGCCUUUCUUUGAAAAUGUAGGUUCUUAAUGUGUCUUGGGUACUUAUUUCAAAGCUGUCUUUCACAGAUGCCUUGCCAAUCAACUUCUUUUUGAUCAAAAUCAUCUACAUUAGCAGUUCCUCUGUCUCCUAAGAAAUUAUUCAAACCUAUGAUGAUAACCUGUUGCCGUUGAGUCAAUUCCAACUCUUAGCGACCCUACAGAUAGGAGUCAGAUGUCCUUGCUCCACAGUACCCGUGGCAGUCCAAUGACAUGUCAAUGAACAUGUUACCACCAAAUCACAGUAACGACUUUCUGUUGGAACCUCCUGGGCAUAAUAAAGAGAAUGAAGAUGAUGUAGAGGUUAUGUCAACAGACUCCUCAAGCAGUAGUAGUGACUCUGAUUAAAAAAAAAAAAUAGAAGACAAAAAG